AUUGAACGCUGUCGGCAUGCUUUACACAUGCAAGUCGAACGGUAACAGGCCGCAAGGUGCUGACGAGUGGCGAACGGGUGAGUAAUGCAUCGGAACGUGCCCAGUCGUGGGGGAUAACGCAGCGAAAGCUGCGCUAAUACCGCAUACGAUCUCUGGAUGAAAGCGGGGGACCGUAAGGCCUCGCGCGAUUGGAGCGGCCGAUGUCAGAUUUGGUAGGUGGUGGGGUAAAGGCUCACCAAGCCGACGAUCUAUAGCUGGUCUGAGAGGACGACCAGCCACACGUGGACUGGGACACGGCACAGACUCCUACGGGAGGCAGCAGUGGGGAAUUUUGGUCAAUGGGCGCAAGCCUGAUCCAUCAAUGCCGCGUGAAGGAAGAAGGCCUUCGGGUUGUAAACUGCUUUGGUACGGAACGAAAAGGCUGUGGUCAAUACCUGGGGCUCAUGACGGUACCGUAAGAAUAAGCACCGGCUAACUACGUGCCAGCAGCCGCCGUAAUAC
rnacentral:rRNA from 1 species